CCGACAGUCAGAAGAGUGUGGCGACGAACAAAGAAAAUGACGAUCGAAGAAAGAAAAGACGGCAGAAGAAAAAGUAACCGAUGAUGAAGCAAGACUGUUGACGUCGCAGAGAAGAAGAAAACGAUGGUGGAGAAGGAAAGGACGACGGAAGAAGGAGAAGAGGAUGGCGACGGUCACAGAGAAGGAAGCUAAAUCGACCGAGAAAAGAAGAGGAAUGAGGCGACGGCAGUGAUGGAGUCCACUGUCGCUGUUGGAUAUGCAUAGCUGCGUCCUCCGCAGGACAGUGUCGCAGCCGUUUCUUCGCCGGUGGGUGCUGCGAAUGAAGGAUGAAUGGCGUGCUACACUUGAAGAAUAGAGACUACGAGUUGCUGGCAGCGCUGCUGGAGGCGGUGCUCCUGCUACAGUCAUGGCGGUUAAGGAUAGUAUGGCCAUGGGAUGAUAAAGUCAGUUCCGCAUGAACAUAAAAAGAGCGAAUUUUUCCAAAAAGAAAAGAAAUUCAUUGGAAAGAGGGAAGAGGAAAAAAAUGGAAGAAGAAAAGUAGUAGAAGGAGACGCGAAGCAGAGAAUGCAGGGGAGGAGGGAGUUCCUCUACUGCCACAACCGCCUGCUAUUUGCCAUGGUCACCGCUGGAUAGAAAACCCUAAAGAGUUAAGUAUUUCAUCUUCACACCAGUGGAUUUUAGAACUUAUGUAUCACAUUUAUGCUUUUGAUUUUUAUUUUUGAACUGUUUUUACCACUUCAAGAAUGUUGAAAUGCUUUUUGUGGGUGCCAUCUCUGCUGCCGUCUUCAUCUGGUUCUCUAUGUUGGAAAAGGUUUCUAUUCUCAAUUCCUGUCUCUUGAUUAUAGUGUUGGCCAUGGGAUGAUAAAGUCAGUUCCGCAUGAACAUAAAAAGAGGUGUUGAAUUUGUUAGUUUUUUUUCUUUUUUUUUUUUUUUGAGAUCUUGAUUUUGCUUUUGUGAAUUGUGCAAUUGAUUGAUUUUUGUGAUUGCACCUUUUGUUUGUUUUAUGCUAAUGAUUUGAA